rnacentral:rRNA from 1 species
CAGCAGCCGCGGGAAUACGAAGGGGGCUAGCGUUGUUCGGAUUUACUGGGCGUAAAGGGCGCGUAGGCGGGCGAUUAAGUCAGGGGUGAAAUCCCAAGGCUCAACCUUGGAACUGCCUUUGAUACUGAUUGUCUUGAGUUCGAGAGAGGUAAGUGGAACUGCGAGUGUAGAGGUGAAAUUCGUAGAUAUUCGCAAGAACACCAGUGGCGAAGGCGGCUUACUGGCUCGAUACUGACGCUGAGGAGCGAAAGCGUGGGGAGCGAACAGGAUUAGAUACCCCAGUAGUCCCUGUCUCUUAUAA